rnacentral:tRNA from 1 species
GGCCAUGUGGUCUAGUGGUAUUGAUUCUCGCUUAGGGUGCGAGAGGUCCCGGAUUCGAUCUCCGCGCAUGGCCC